rnacentral:rRNA from 1 species
UACGGAGGGAGCGAACGUUGUUCGGAUUUACUGGGCGUAAAGGGCGUGUAGGCGGCUUUGCAAGUCAGGGGUGAAAUGUCCCGGCUCAACCGGGGACCUGCCUUUGAAACUGCAGAGCUUGAGGCCGUGAGAGGAGACUGGAAUUCCCAGUGUAGCGGUGAAAUGCAUAGAUAUUGGGAAGAACACCAGUGGCGAAGGCGAGUCUCUGGCACGGUUCUGACGCUGAUGCGCGAAAGCUAGGGGAGCGAACGGG